rnacentral:rRNA from 1 species
GCCGCGGUAAUUCCAGCUCCAAUAGCGUAUAUUAAAGUUGUUGUGGUUAAAAAGCUCGUAGUUGGAUCUCGGCGGACUGAGGGCGGUUUGCUUGCUAGUAUUACUGCCCUAUAGUCCGUAGUUUUGCCAGAGGUUUCGGGGUGCUCUUAAUCGAGUGUCCCGGGAUGCUGGCAGGUUUACUUUGAAAAAAUUAGAGUGCUCAAAGCAGGCUAUUACGCCUGAAUAUUCGUGCAUGGAAUAAUAGAAUAGGAAGUCGUUUCUAUUUUGUUGGUUUUCGGAAAUCGACUUAAUGAUUAAUAGGGACAGUCGGGGGCAUUUGUAUUCAAACGACAGAGGUGAAAUUCUUGGACCGUUUGAAGACAAACUACUGCGAAAGCAUUUGCCAAGAAUGUUUUCAUUAAUCAAGAACGAAAGUUAAAGGUUCGAAGGCGAUUAGAUACCGCCCUAGUUUUAACCAUAAACGAUGCCAGCUAGCGAUCUGCGGACGUUUUUUUUGUAGACUCCGCAGGAAGCUUCCGGGAAACCAAAGCAUUUGGGUUCCAGGGGAAGUAUGGUUGCAAAGCUGAAACUUAAAGGAAUUGACGGAAGGGCACCACCAGGAGUGGAGCCUGUGGCUUAAUUUGACUCAACACGGGAAAUCUCACCAGGCCCGGACACUGGAAGGAUUGACAGAUUGAUAGCUCUUUCUUGAUUCGGUGGGUGGUGGUGCAUGGCCGUUCUUAGUUGGUGGAGUGAUUUGUCUGGUUAAUUCCGAUAACGAACGAGACUCUGUCCUGCUAAAUAGUGUCUGCUUCUCUUUUGAGCAGACAAUUCUUCUUAGAGGGACUGGCGACUCUUAGUCGCACGAGAUUGAGCAAUAACAGGUCUGUGAUGCC